rnacentral:rRNA from 1 species
AGUGAACGCUGGCGGUAGGCCUAACACAUGCAAGUCGAACGGCAGCACAGUAAGAGCUUGCUCUUACGGGUGGCGAGUGGCGGACGGGUGAGGAAUACAUCGGAAUCUACUUUUUCGUGGGGGAUAACGUAGGGAAACUUACGCUAAUACCGCAUACAACCUACGGGUGAAAGCAGGGGAUCUUCGGACCUUGCGCGAUUGAAUGAGCCGAUGUCGGAUUAGCUGGUUGGCGGGGUAAAGGCCCACCAAGGCGACGAUCCGUAGCUGGUCUGAGAGGAUGAUCAGCCACACUGGAACUGAGACACGGUCCAGACUCCUACGGGAGGCAGCAGUGGGGAAUAUUGGACAAUGGGCGCAAGCCUGAUCCAGCCAUACCGCGUGGGUGAAGAAGGCCUUCGGGUUGUAAAGCCCUUUUGUUGGGAAAGAAAGGCAGCAGGUUAAUACCCCGCUGUUCUGACGGUACCCAAAGAAUAAGCACCGGCUAACUUCGUG